AAACCUAUAGAUAUGCAGUUGAUGUGGAGAGAUGUCAGAGUGAUGUGUCUGCUGUAAGCGCAGUGCCGAUGGUUAGGGGUAAGGUGCCUUCAUCAAGGGCACCUCGGCAGUGCCCCGGAGGAAACCUGGCACCUCUCCAGCUGCCAGUCCACACUCCGUAUCAACUGGUCCAUGCUGGACAUGAACCGUUCGCCCUCCAGUCCCCAAGCCAAGUCCCUAUGGACUGAAUGUGUGGACUGGUUUGAAAAACAGAAAAACAAAAGAUCACGCUGGUGCAAAGCCAUUCCGCUGCUGAUCACGUGCAGAGGUCCUAACUGUGAUAUUGGGUGUGGUCACAAAUUUACCAAUGCACCAAUGCUUUUCCACCAUACAAGAUCCAUCCAUCCAUCCAUCCUUUCAUCCACCAUGCAUUGGGCAAAGGUGGAUAAUUGGAACAUGCUGAAGUGGAUGAUGCAGAGCUAACGUGGAGGAAACCAGAGGAAACACAAACAAACAUGAGAGGAACAAGAAAGUGUGAGCACUGCAGGAAGACUGGCCAGCUGAACCCAAUGUAAACUCUCUCUCCAUCUUUUUCAUGUAUUUGCCUCAUCAGUUCCCACAUUAAACUUCUGUCACCUCAGUCAAUUUUCAUUCUCUGAUGUAUGAUAUUGUUACAUUUGGGACAUUUUAACCCACAGACAUAAAAGUUUGCCACACUAGAUAAUCAACAGGUCUGAAGCGCAAUUUCAAAGUACAUUUCAAAGAAUCAAGUUGAAGCCAAGACAGUUAUUAUUGAAAGUAAUAAUGUUUCACCAUUUAAUGCCACGCAUAGCUUUCUACAAUUGACUGUACUUAAUGU
rnacentral:lncRNA from 15 species